ensembl:lncRNA
AGUCGAUGUGGAUAUCAGUCCAAGAAUCUCUUGCAGAUCUGAGCCUUCUUCAUCUGGAUUGCCCCUCCCCCUGUCACAGAAGUAGGCGGAGCUCUGUCUGUUUACCCGAUUCUACGCUAAGCAUUGAACUCUGUGCCAAUGAUGUAGCUCGCCAUGGCAGUGAGGAGGGCUACAGCUCGUCCACAACACGGUUACAGCGUCUGCUGGCCGAGUCUCAGGAAAUGGUGGCAAGUUUGGAAAGUUCAACCAAGAAGUCUGUCAGCCCUACGAAACCUCAGAGCCUGAUGAACUGCGAUGUCAUUUGUCACCUCCAAAGUAACCAUGGCAACGGCAGCCACUCCCAAACCUCCACCCAUAGCCAGGAGGGCAGACAAACACACGGGGUACCUAUUACAUCAUAAAACUCUUUACA